GCAGAUUUGGCCGAGUGGUCUAAGGCGGUGGCCUUAAGUUCUGUCUUUGCUUACCCGAGGACGUGAUCUCAAUCCACUGGAGAAAUCCGCAAGAGUUCGAACCUCUUAGUCUGCA